rnacentral:rRNA from 1 species
GAGGGGGUCGCGGCUGAUUAGCUAGUUGGUGAGGUAAUGGCUCACCAAGGCGAAGAUCGGUAUCCGGCCUGAGAGGGCGCACGGACACACUGGAACUGAAACACGGUCCAGACUCCUACGGGAGGCAGCAGUGGGGAAUUUUGCGCAAUGGGGGAAACCCUGACGCAGCAACGCCGCGUGGAGGAUGAAGCUCCUUGGAGUGUAAACUCCUUUCGACCGGGACGAUAAUGACGGUACCGGUGGAAGAAGCACCGGCUAACUCUGUGCCAGCAGCCGCGGUAAUACAGAGGGUGCGAGCGUUGUUCGGAAUUAUUGGGCGUAAAGGGCGCGUAGGCGGUGCGGUAAGUCACCUGUGAAAUCCCCGGGCUUAACUCGGGGCCUGCAGGCGAAACUGCCGUGCUGGAGGGUGGGAGAGGUGCGUGGAAUUCCCGGUGUAGCGGUGAAAUGCGUAGAUAUCGGGAGG